UCCUAUAAUUGUGUGAAUCAUAUAGUUUCUAGGUUAAACUCGAUCCUAACCCGCUAACAAAUCGUUGCAUCCAUAUAGAAUUGCUUGUAGGCAAGUGCUCUGUUCGUGAGUCGGUUUAGUGUUUAGUCAUAUUUAGGGUUUUGAGUUUCUUUUGGAGUGCACAAAUCCAUAGUAAAGUCUUCCCGAAUUUUCGUUGAGCCUAUCUCCCAGGCAAAGUAGAUCCCUUCUCGACUUCUCUGAAUUCUUACCAAACUCUCCUCGAAGUUCCCUUCAAAAACCUCCUCCCUCUUUGAUCUAAUCUCAACCUUCUGUCGAAUCCCAUCUCAAUCUCUUUUCGAGUCCCUUCUCAAAUUUCAUUAGCUCGCAAGAAGAAGAAUUUCUUUCCCUUUCUCUCCCAAUCAUUUUAGCAAAUAGGAAAGAACCUCCAUCUCAUUUGCUCCCAAACAAGGAAAUGGAAAACCUUUUCUCCUCUCUUGGGCUAGACUUCCCUCUUAUUUUUCUUUCUCCUCCUUUUGGCCCGCGUAACCAGCCAGCCCAACCUGCCUCCCCCUUCUCCUCCUGGCCUGCUAGCGCCACCAGCCCAGCACCCUUCCCACUCCAGCCUACCUCGCAGCCCAUCCGCUCCUCCUUGCUCUGGCCCAAGUCGUGGCCGGCCCGCGCAGGCAUGCGCGCGGCCCAGCUGGCCCAAGCCGCGGCACCCCAGCUCCCUGGAACCCUAGGGAGCAGCUGCUCCCGACCCCAGGCCGCUGCCGCCCGUCUGCUGGAGAGCGCCAACACCCGACCUCGCGCCCACCAGCUCCGUACCACGCGCACCCGCAUCCACCGCCGCGUGUCCCACUGUGGACACGGACAUUGAGGAUGGUCGACUCCCCCUGGAACCCUAGGCCAGGGCGCGUAUAAAGCGCCGACGCUGCCUUCUGCUAUACCCUAGCGCCGCCACGACUCCUUCUCCUCUGCUCCCUUCACCAGCGUCGUCGCGCCGACCCGGAGCUCUGUCUCGCCACCGUCGGCCGUGCAAAGCCCCGGCCGAGCCGCGCGCUCACCUCGGCAUCAGCCGCGCCCACGGUGCCACCCUCGCCCGGCGACGUCGACGCCCCUACCGCGACGCCGAGCCCCCUCCCGCAGCGCUUCGCCACCGAGCUCCGGCCGAACCUUCGACGACCGCAUCCACGUCCUCGCCACGGUCACCAGGAGCCCACGACGUCCGCGACUUCACCUCAACGUCGACCUCGCCAAGCCCGCAGCGGCCACCCCUCUGCCUCAGCUUCGGGCCACGCCCACGCCGCAAGCGAAGCCUCGACGCCGUCCUCGUCGUGCCACCGCGAGCUCAUCACAGCUGCGCUCUCCGACCAGCGUAGCCACGGUGUCGUCAACCCUGUGGACACGCCACGACCAUGACCUGAAGCCCGCCAACUACAAGGUCGAAACCCCCCUAAAGCCUAGUCGACAUUGACGAAACUUCUCCAUACUAAUUCAUAUCUGUUCUUACUUCAUUUUGUUAUCUAUCAUCUGUCCUUAUCAUGAUUUACCUUUACUUGUUAUAUGAUCUAUAUCCCUGCCUGUAUCAUGCCUUCGUGCCGGUCUAUUUAUCUAUCUGUCCAUUUCUGUCAUGUAUGCUUUGGAAAUGUGCUACUCUGAGUUGUCAUAGUGUCUUUGUGUUGAUGAUGGUCGAGUAGUGAUUCCUUGUGAGUUUGUCGUUGUCUGUGGACUGUGUCGUCGAGCCGGUUGAGAGAGUGAUGUGUUUGAACGUUGCGAUCGCGAGUUUGUCUCGCCAUGGCCGUAAUGCCAAGCAUGUCCCUUCUCUCGUGUUGUCGUUUUUCUUGUGUUAAUUGCCUGAGGACAUGGUAGUGCGGUCGACCAUAUCGAUCGUGGGUUCGUCCCGCCAUGAUCACGAUGCCGAGCGUAACGCAUUCCUCGUGUUUAGUUGACUUCGUUGAACUACGGUCAUUAGCUCCUAUCCCCGUCCCUAGGGUUUGAUCAUUGCGGACUCGAUACUCAUAACGACGCGGUUCUUACCCGCACCUUCGAGUCCUCUGUGAUCUAGUCUAGUGGGAUACAGAUUAGGAGCAACCCUGGUGGAAGAGUCGGAAGCCAACUCGAUAGGUGGAGCUCAUGGCUGCGAGUCGCCUUGCCAUGGCCAUCGGGCUUUACCUUGUUUUUCGCGUGUUGAUCCUAAGUACCUUGUAUGCUUGCACCACCUAGACCAUAGCAUUCCCAUGGACCUAGCCGUGACAACCGCAUUGCUACGGGCCUUAGGAAUAGCCUUGUGCUGAAUUUGUUGCACAGUCGUGGUGCCCUACAAGUGGGUUCGGAUCGUGGGGUUGUAUCUCUUUCAUCCAACCGUCGUUCAUUCCAUGAUGAGUUGGUCGAAACAGUAUGGACUCCAUUCCUCUUCUCUCUUGUUCUCAAUCCCCGUAGAUCCAGUAAUACGUGGAUUGAGCCCUUCUGUUUGUUUGGUGUUUUGGUUCCAUUUCUACGAUUCCCGCUGUUGCUAUGGCGAGUGGAUCAAAGGAAGAUGAACCCCGUGUCCUUUCCCGCCUUUUUGGUUCUUCGUGUUUAAACUCUUGUACGCUUGUACCUAUUUGACCAUAGCAUUUCUUGGUUCUUGUGGUGACCACUGCACCGCUAAGAACCUUGGUGAUGUCUUAGUGCAUUUAGUGCACCUAGGUUGUGGUACCCUACAAGUAGCUUGAGCACUCGUGUUCUUUGUGCGUCACUCUUUCUGAUUUCCCCGUCUCUUACCAUGGCGAGUGGAUGGAAAGAGGUAGACCACUUCCCAUUUCCUUUCUCUUUGUUCCACCCUCUCUUGGCUCUCGCCAACUACAAUGGCGUAUGGAUUGAGAGAGACCGGAACUUCUCGUGCUCAUAGUCUUUUCGAUCCCUGUCGAUCUCUAUGACACUUGGAUCGAAAGGCCGUAAGCUGUGGUGUUGCUAAGAAUGAGUUAGAGUCUAAGCCAUUUAUUAAAGCCGUACAAGUUGACUCAGUUGACCCGUGAAGUACCGGCUAGGCUAAGACUCUGACUUGUACUUAGUGAACAACCAUUCCCAUUUCUUUUAGCCUAAGGAUCGGAUAUCCGCCGAGAGGGCUAAGUUGUUUUCCCUUCGGGGCUCUUUUGGUGUAGUUGUUCUUCAGUGUUCUGUCGCCUUCUUCGCAGUCUUUCUAGGUCUAGUGGUUUGAUUGUUUUGCCUUACUUGAUGUUUACGAGGUAGUUGCUUCGGUUAACGUUGAUCGGUUUGGGACCCAGUGGAGGAAGGACAUGCAGAUGGAAGGACUUUGGAUGAGAACAACUACAAGUGCACUGAGGAUCUUGGAAAUGACAUUCAACAGGUGCCACGUCCCACCCAACCUCGUAGAAUCCUAUUAGACAUGCAAUAAUGUAGAUGCUAGUGAUUUACUUUAUGCAAAUGAACUGAGAUAGGUUGCAUGGUAGAAAUGCUUGUGAGCCAUUGCCUUGUUGCAACCUAUAACCCUCGCACACCCGCUGAUAGGUUAGAUGCUUGCAUACUACUUACUACUGCUUCUACUACACAUUAUAUCUAUGAUGUGAUGCAUUGUGGAGGACUGGAAGUGAGUGGAUAAGGCACGUGGUGCCAAAAGCUGGAUAUUGAGAUGGUAAUGGAUUUGGGGAGAUCUUGGCGUGUGUCUUGGGUGUGUGGUGAGGGUCGAGUCGACCGAGCAGGAUUUACGACGAGUCUUGGGACAAGUCUUGCUGGAGGACGCUACCUGGGCGUUCUCCAUGAGAGAUACCUGUGGCGGGUACAUGUGACAGGGAGAGGUCCCGGAGUCGAGUGUCUUCGUGGGACAAAGCGCCGGGAUGGGAGGUGCUGUUUAGCAUGGGGUAAUCGGAUGUCUCGUCGAGCGAGGCAUCGGUUGGCCCCUUGUGAAGAUGUCAUGUUUGGUCACCCUAAGGACUGAUAUGUUCUGUGGACCGGGUCUUAGGAAGCCUUGCACCCCACUCGCUCUUAUGGGGAGGAGACGAAUGUACAACCAGCUAGAGCGGUGCCACUACUACUAGGUUGUUAGCGGAUAGUGUAGGGAUGUACGGGCAUGAGGACCCACACCCUCCUAAGACAGCGUAGUGACCUUUGGGGCCCAGUACUACGCCUCACAGUCUCAGCGUACCGGUGGUACUCUGGUAUGGUCCCAGUUCUGAGGGGUAUGGUGGCAUCGUGUUUAGUUGGAAGGCAGCUCAGAAUCAGCCUAGACGAGGGCCUUCGUCGAUGAUGGUGAUCUUGUGGUUAGUGCAAACCUCUUCAGAGUUUGGUUGAUCGAUCGAUACAUAUGCCGAUUCGUCGGCUAUGGACCUUUCCUAAGUACAGCUUCACUUCACUAGAGAGAGGAGUCCCUUCUACCUUCCCCUGGGUUUGUGUUGGAUCCGGCGUUGGCCGUUGAGGCAAGGCACAAGCGGGAGUCGUACUUGCCGCCUAGAGAGUGAGAGUAUGGUGAGAUGUGUGUGAUGGGAUGGAUGGAUGGAUGUGCGGAUGAGAUGGAUUAAAACUUGAUGAAUUGUUAUUAUAAAAUAUGGACGAACUUGCAUAGGAAAGACUACAGCCAUAUAUAUAGGCCUCUUGAUCUACCCCUUGCAUUCCACUUACCACAAAGCUACGCAAAAGCAUAGGAUGGGAGCCAGUGGCCAGUACAAAUCGUACUGAAAAUUGUUUAGCAGGUUUUGAACGUGGUCUAUGACGAUAACUACGGAGAUUAGAAGAAUUAGGUGGUCUUGUUUCUGCGCUCAAGUUUGGUUCGGAGAUGAAGGCUACGCCCGCUGAUAAACUACGCCGACUUUGAUGAUUGCCCGUGAAGGAGGAGCCUUCACCGCUGACACGCUACAUCGACUCUGAUAAAAAUCUGUGUGUGUUCCGCUAGAAAAACGAUGUAAUAGGCUUGUUGACCAAGAGUUGUAAUGUAAAUGUGUUGUAACCUUGUUUCUCACGAUCUAUGACUAUGAUAAUAGCUGAUAUAUGAUAAUGAGAUGGUUCAAUUUUUGAAUUAUCACAUUAUAAUACGAAUCUGUGGAUUUUUCCCUUUUUAGAAAAAAUCUAGGUCGUUUCAGUUGAUAUCAGAGCCAUACUUGACCCUAGGACGAGACCAUUAGUACCGAACACUAGUUUAGAAGCCAAACUUUCUAUCUUUAGUAGAGUUAUAGAUGCUAACACACGUUUUCCCCCUCCGCCUUGAAUUCUGUUGCUAACUAACCUCCCUAGUUCAUAAAGUGGACCGUUGUAAACUUUUUCCCAUACCCGCCCACGCUAGAUCGAUAGUCGUGUGAGACUUUGAAGGUCUGUGAGUCGCCUCAAGUCAACACUAUGCAUUAGGAGUUGUAAUGUUGUUUGAGUGCUUGGAUCUUAUGUUGAUGUGUUUCUUGUGCUUCUUGCUGUCUGAGUGUAUGUCAUAGAACUGUUUUAUGCGAGAAAGACUCUGGGUCCCAUCCAAUCUAGCUGGCUAAACCCAAGACCGUCCCGAGACUAGAUAAGUGACCCUGGCUGACAGAGCGGGAAAAAGGGUGUAAAGAUGUUACAUCAUGUUUUACCCAACUGCUUCAAAACUGUUUUGGCUUCCAAAAUGAACCUGUCUUCAAAAUUUUCUCUCCUUUUUGGUUAAAAUGUCCCCUCUUUAACAAAAGCAUCUUUAUUUCAAAUGGGAAGGUGUUUCAAAACUCUCUUAAGGUUUUCCUUUUCAAAAAGAAAGCAACUUUAACUCCUUUCUCAACUCAAUUUUAUUCAAACUCUAUUUAUGAAAUGAUUUAAAAAUAAGUUAUCUUUCAAAAGGUGUUACCAACCCUCUUCUGAAAAAUCAAAAGUUUUGCCUUCAACCAACAAAGUGGAUUUCCAACCAAAGAUUUUGGCUCAGUUUUGUUUUAAAGGCCUUUGAAUUUUAUUCCGAGAGCCAAAUUCCUUUUAAAAAAAAUCAACCUUGUCUUAAAAGAAAAAGGAAUUGCCAGUGAUUUAUUGAGCAAAAACCAUUGCGAAAAGAUUUUUGUUGCGGCCUUUCAAAAAAAAAGAAAUUACAAGUUUUAAAAGAAAAUGCUCUUGUUGUUAAAACUUGAUCUUUCAAAAUGAGAAAUGAUUUCUAGUCAUUUUCAAAACUAGUUGGUUUAAUUCAAAUAAAUAAUAAUAAUAAUAAAACGCCUUGUUUUGAAAACUAAAAGAGUUUUAAAGUCUCUUGAUUUGAAAUCUUUUACAAAAAAAAUCUUAAAAAAAUAAAAUAAAAUAAAAUAAAAUAAAAUAAAAUAAAUAUAUAUAAUAUAAAUAAUAAUAAUGACAAAAUAAAUAAAUUUGGUUUUCAAAAUUUGCGUUGAUUUCAACCCUUUUCAAAAGCUCUUUUCAGUUUGAGCUAUCUUAAAAAAAACCCUUUGACUUUGUAAAACCGCUUUCACUCCAUUUAUGAAACCUGAUUUUCCGAAAAACAUUCCUUUCAAAAGCUUUUUGCAAAAAGUGAUGCACAAAAAACAACUGGUGAAAGCCAACAACCCUAGCUAUGUUUAAGCCUGCCAAGCGCUCUUUGAGAGCCAGAUGUUCAUCAACCCCGUGCGAAUCUUGGACACUCAUCGCCCUGGUGUGAAAAUUUGGAUACCCAACAACUGCAAGUGAGCCUUGGAUACAUCCGGAACAAGACUCACUCCCAUAAAAAAAAGUUUGAGGAGUGAUCAUACUGAAAGUGAAACAACUCAGAAGUAAGAAGAACUUCGGGAAUAGCACCCUUGCUUCUUCGCCAACCGAGCAACGCCUAAAUCUCGGCGACGAGAUUCCUGUAAGGUGGGUGGACUGUAGCAUCCCGGAUUUUUACGAAAAACCAAAAAUACGAGCUUUUUAAAAUUUUUCCUAUAAUUGUGUGAAUCAUAUAGUUUCUAGGUUAAACUCGAUCCUAACCCGCUAACAAAUCGUUGCAUCCAUAUAGAAUUGCUUGUCGGCAAGUGCUUUGUUCAUGAGUCGGUUUAGUGUUUAGUCUUAUUUAGGGUUUUGAGUUUCUUUUGGAGUGCACAAAUCCAUAGUAAAGUCUUCCUGAAUUUUCGUUGAGCCUAUCUCCCAGGCAAAGUAGAUCCCUUCUCGAUUUCUCUGAAUUCUUUCCAAACUCUCCUCGAAGUUCCCUUCAAAAACCUCCUCCAUCUUUGAUCUAAUCUCAACCUUCCGUCGAAUCCCAUCUCAAUCUCUUUUCGAGUCCCUUCUCAAAUUUCAUUAGCUCGCAAGAAGAAGAAUUUCUUUCCCUUUCUCCCCCAAUCAUUUUAUCAAAUAGGAAAGAACCUCCAUCUCAUUUGCUCCCAAACAAGGAAAUGGAAAACCUUUUCUCCUCUCUUGGGCUAGACUUCCCUCUUAUUUUUCUUUCUCCUCCUCCUUUUGGCCCACGUAACCAGCCAGCCCAACCUGCCUCCCCCCUUCUCCUCCUGGCCUGCUAGCACCACCAGCCCAGCACCCUUCCCACUCCAGCCUGCCUUGCGGCCCAUCCGCUCCUCCUUGUUUUGGCCCAAGUCGUGGCCGGCCCGCGCAGGCAUGCGCGCGGCCCAGCUGGCCCAAGCCGCGGCACCCCAGCUCCC
rnacentral:lncRNA from 1 species